AGUGAACGCUGGCGGUAGGCCUAACACAUGCAAGUCGAACGGCAGCACAGUAAGAGCUUGCUCUUACGGGUGGCGAGUGGCGGACGGGUGAGGAAUACAUCGGAAUCUACUUUUUCGUGGGGGAUAACGUAGGGAAACUUACGCUAAUACCGCAUACGACCUACGGGUGAAAGCAGGGGAUCUUCGGACCUUGCGCGAUUGAAUGAGCCGAUGUCGGAUUAGCUAGUUGGCGGGGUAAAGGCCCACCAAGGCGAUGAUCCGUAGCUGGUCUGGGAGGAUGAUCAGCCACACUGGAACUGAGACACGGUCCAGACUCCUACGGGAGGCAGCAGUGGGGAAUAUUGGACAAAGGGCGCAAGCCUGAUCCAGCCAUACCGCGUGGGUGAAGAAGGCCUUCGGGUUGUAAAGCCCUUUUGUUGGGAAAGAAAAGCAGCAGGUUAAUACCCCGCUGUUCUGACGGUACCAAAAGAAUAAGCACCGGCUAACUUCGUG
rnacentral:rRNA from 1 species